AUUGAACGCUGGCGGCAGGCCUAACACAUGCAAGUCGAGCGGAGCGGCGGACGGGUGAGUAAUGCCUAGGAAUCUGCCUGGUAGUGGGGGAUACCGUCCGGAAACGGGCGCUAAUACCGCAUCCUCUCAGAUGAGCCUAGGUCGGAUUAGCUAGUUGGUGGGGUAAAGGCCUACCACGGCGACGAGCCGUAACUGGUCUGAGAGGAUGAUCAGUCACACUGGAACGGAGACACGGUCCAGACUCCUACGGGAGGCAGCAGUGGGGAAUAUUGGACAAUGGGCGAAAGCCUGAUCCAGCGAUGCCGCGUGUGUGAAGAAGGUCGUCGGAUUGUAAAGCACUUAAAGUUGGGAGGCGUUACCAACAGAAUAAGCACCGGCUAACUUCGUGCCAGCAGCCGCGGUAAUAC
rnacentral:rRNA from 1 species